GACGAACGCUGGCGGCGUGCCUAAUACAUGCAAGUAGGACGCAGUUGCGAACGGGUGAGUAACGCGUAGGUAACUACCUAUUAGAGGGGGAUAACUAUUGGAAACGAUAGCUAAUACCGCAUACUAGUAGAUGGAACUUCGUUGUAUUAGCUAGUAGGUAGGGUAAUGGCAUACCUAGGCAACGAUACAUAGCCGACCGUAGAGGAUGAUCGGCCAAACUGAGAAUGAGAACCGACACAGACUCCUACGGGAGGCAGCAGUAGGGAAUCCUCGGCAAUGGGGGGAACCCUGACCGAGCAACGCCGCGUGAGUGAAGAAGGUUUUCGGAUCGUAAAGCUCUGUUGUUAAGGAAGCGGUACUUAACCAGAAAGGGACGGCUAACUACGUGCCAGCCGCCGCGGUAAUAC
rnacentral:rRNA from 1 species